CCUACGGGCGUCUGCAGUGGGGAAUAUUGGACAAUGGGCGAAAGCCUGAUCCAGCCAUGCCGCGUGUGUGAAGAAGGCCUUCGGGUUGUAAAGCACUUUCAGUGGGGAAGAAAGCCUUGGGGCUAAUACCCUCGAGGAAGGACAUCACCCACAGAAGAAGCACCGGCUAACUCCGUGCCAGCAGCCGCGGUAAUACGGAGGGUGCGAGCGUUAAUCGGAAUUACUGGGCGUAAAGCGCGCGUAGGCGGUCUGAUAAGCCGGUUGUGAAAGCCCCGGGCUCAACCUGGGAACGGCAUCCGGAACUGUCAGGCUAGAGUGCAGGAGAGGAAGGUAGAAUUCCCGGUGUAGCGGUGAAAUGCGUAGAGAUCGGGAGGAAUACCAGUGGCGAAGGCGGCCUUCUGGACUGACACUGACGCUGAGGUGCGAAAGCGUGGGUAGCAAACAGGAUUAGAUACCCGAGUAGUC
rnacentral:rRNA from 1 species